rnacentral:rRNA from 1 species
UACGGAGGGUGCGAGCGUUAAUCGGAAUAACUGGGCGUAAAGGGCACGCAGGCGGGCUUUUAAGUGAGAUGUGAAAUCCCCGGGCUUAACCUGGGAAUAGCAUUUCAGACUGGUAUGCUAGAGUACUUUAGGGAGGGGUAGAAUUCCACGUGUAGCGGUGAAAUGCGUAGAGAUGUGGAGGAAUACCGAAGGCGAAGGCAGCUCCUUGGGAAUGGACUGACGCUCAUGUGCGAAAGCGUGGGAAGCAAACAGG